rnacentral:rRNA from 1 species
CCCGCUGAAAUUCAGCAUAUCUAUAAGCGGCGGAAAAGAAACUAACAAGGAGUCCCUUAGCUGCUGCGAGUGAAGCGGCAAAAGCGCUUAUUUAAAAGCUGGGGGACUUUGGGGGGCCGCGUUGUUAUUAACAGUAGCGUCUGCCGCGCUGGACCGUGUACAAGUCUCCUGGAAUGGAGCGUCACAGAGGGUGAGAAUCCCGUCUUUGGCAUGGACACACCGGGGCUUUUGUGAUGCGCUCUCGAAGAGUCGAGUUGUUUGGGAAUGCAGCUCAAAAUGGGUGGUGAACUCCAUCUAAAGCUAAAUAUUGGCGAGAGACCGACAGCGAACAAGUACCGUGAGGGAAAGAUGAAAAGCACUUUGGAAAGAGAGUGAAACAGUCCGUGAAAUUGUUGAAAGGGAAACGCUUGAAGUCAGUCGCGUCGACCGAGACUCAGGCCUCGCCUCGGCUUGGUGUACUUCUCGGCUGACGGGUCAGCAUCAAUUUCGCCUCCUGGAUAAUGGCGGGGGAAAUGUGACACCUUCACGGUGUGUUAUAGUCUCUCGUCGCAUGCAAGGGUCGGGAUUGAGGAACUCAGCACGCGGCCUUCGGGUGUCGGGGCUUUUGCCCACGAUACGUGCUUAGGAUGUUGGCGUAAUGGCUUUAAACGACCCGUCUUGAAACACGG